UAAUACGGAGGGUGCGAGCGUUGUCCGGAAUCAUUGGGCGUAAAGGGCGCGUAGGUGGCCCGGUCAGUCCGUGGUGAAAGCGCGGGGCUCAACCCCGCGUCGGCCAUGGAUACUGCUGGGCUGGAGCACUGUAGAGGCAGGCGGAAUUCCGGGUGUAGCGGUGGAAUGCGUAGAGAUCCGGAAGAACACCGGUGGCGAAGGCGGCCUGCUGGGCAGUUGCUGACACUGAGGCGCGACAGCGUGGGGAGCAAACAGGAUUAGAU
rnacentral:rRNA from 1 species